UACAGAGGGUGCGAGCGUUGUCCGGAAUCACUGGGCGUAAAGGGCGCGUAGGCGGCUCGGUCAGCGUGCGGUGAAAGCCCGGGGCUCAACCCCGGGUCGGCCGUGCGAACUGCUGGGCUGGAGCACUGUAGAGGCAGGUGGAAUUCCGGGUGUAGCGGUGGAAUGCGUAGAGAUCCGGAAGAACACCGGUGGCGAAGGCGGCCUGCUGGGCAGUAGCUGACGCUGAUGGCGCGACAGCGUGGGGAGCAAACAGGG
rnacentral:rRNA from 1 species